GUUUGCCCCAAACGCUCCCGUGCAGCACCACGGGAAGCUCUGCCCUUCCUUGGGAAGCUCCCAAACCCCGAGUCCCCCGCACUACUCAGGGUGACAGUUGCACUAGAGGCACAGCUCACCAGGCUGCCACCAAAGCCACGCGUUGGGAGUCUUGCGCUGCAACACACACGAUCCCGCUGUCAAAACCCAAAGAAAUGAUGCAGCCGUGCUCUGGGUGGACUGUGCUGACGUCCUCGGCCUCACUUCCAGCGCUUGUUUGUGUGGAUCAGAUGCAGCUUCAUCAAAGCAAACUGCGAUGCUGACAGCGAUGGGAUCAGCGCCCGGGUUCUGCUCAGGACCCUCCUCUACCAGCAGCGACGCUGAACGUCGCAAACAGGUCUCCUACAGCAGGGUGCAUGGAGUUACACCCGCUUAAUCCAAGACUAGUUGACCCUUUCGGUCCCUCUGCUUCAUUCCAAGGUGUGGGGACACCCCCAGGCUGUGGUACAGGAGUGACGAGCCCGUCACGGAGCGUCUGGUGACACACAGCAACAGGCAAGAGGGUUCAGUGCAGCCCGACGUGAUAGCGCUUUGUCUCAGCUUCCAGAAGUACCGUGUGGAAAUAUUUAGCACGAUGAUUUUGCAUCUCUCUUCUGACUUUUGGGUUGUUCCUUAAAUACACGUGGGUUUAAUGGGUAAGCAAAGGUGGUGGGUGUGAGGGCAGCGUGGCACCAGGAGAGCGAGUCGGGGCUCGGUGCUGAGAGCUCUGGCUAGACCGGAGAGUGAGAUUUUCAGAGCCUGAACAGAUGCAUUUUGCAGAAAAGCCGCUGUAAUGACGAACAGCCCUGUUUCUGCCUGUGCUGGGUUACUGACCUGGAUUUCUGGCGGGUGAAGUCAGGUCCCCAAACUCAUUUGCCAUUUCUCCGCGGGGCUCACGCCUGGUUUUCUGCCCACUUGGACCGCGGGCGUUAUCCGAUCACUUUGCGGGGACGUGGAGCCCGACGCCGUCCUUAAGCGCUCCUGCCUGGUCCUGGACUGCACUGCCGCCACCUGCUAAACCCAGCAGGGAGGCUGGCGGGCAGCCUGAGGCAAAGCCAUAUUAUCAUUUUUCUCCUCCUUUUCCCUUCUUUUUCCCUCUCCAAGGGCAAGAGCGGGUGGUCUGUGCCUCUGCCCUACAGAGGGAAGCCUGGUAGGAGAAGGGGGGGCAGGAUCAUAAGACCAUGAUGGAAGAGGUCUGAUUUUUGCAGCCGCUUUUCACAGAAUCCCAGAAUGUCAGGGACUGGAAGGGCCCUGGCAAGCUCAUCCAGUGCAAUCCCCCCAUGGAGCAGGAACACCCAGAUGAGGUUACACAGGAAGGUGUCCAGGCGGGUUGGAAUGUCUGCACAGAAGGAGACUCCACAACCUCCCUGGGCAGCCUGGGCCAGGCUCUGCCACCCUCACCGGGAACAAGUUGCUUCUCAAAUUUCAAUGGAACCUCCUGUGUUCCAGUUUGCACCCAUUGCCCCUUGUCCUAUCAUUGGUUGUCACUGAGAAGAGCCUGGCUCCAUCCUCCUGACACUCCCCCUUUCCAUAUUGAUCCCCAUGAAUGAGUCCCCCCUCAGUCUCCUCUUGUCCAGCUCCAGAGCCCCAGCUCCCUCAGCCUUUCCUCACACGGGAGAUGCUCCACUCCCUUCAGCAUCUUGGUGGCUGCGCUGGACUCUCUCCAGCAGUUCCCUGUCCUGCUGGAACUGAGGGGCCACAGCUGGACACAAGAUUCCAGGUGUGGUCUCCCCAGGGCAGAGCAGAGGGGCAGGAGAACCUCUCUGACCUACUGACCACCCCCUUCUAACCCACCCCAGGUACCAUUGGCCUUCCUGGCCACAAGGGCCCAGUGCUGGCUCAUGGUCACCCUGCUGUCCCCAGGAUCCCCAGGUCCCUUUCCCCUACACUGCUCUCUAAUAGGUCAUUCCCCAACUUAUACUGGAACCUGGGGUUGUUCCUGCCCAGAUUCAAGACUCUGCACUUGCCCUCGUUCUAUUUCAUUAAAUUUUCCCCGCCCAGCUCUCCAGCCUGUCCAGGUCUCUGGAUGGCAGCACAGCUUCCAGUGUCACCACUCCUCCCAGUUCGGUGUCACCAGCAAACUUGCUGACAGUGCACUCUAGUCCCUCAUACAACCAUUGAUGAAUAUAUUGAAUAAUACCGGCCCCAGCACUGCCCCUGAGGCACUGCACUAGAUGCAGGCAUCAACUGGACUCUGCCCCAUUGACCACGACUCUCUGGCUUCUUCCCUUCAGUCAGUUCACAGUCACCUCACUACCCGAUCAUCCAGGUCACAUUAUGCUUCUUCUCUGGACAGCAAGUCUGAAUGGUUCGCUACAGCUCGGAGAACAAAUCAGUUACAGAAAACAGCACAAGCAUUUGUUCUGUGGGACGGAGUACAGAGUGUCUGCUUCUAAAACGUGUGCCCGAGAGAGGCACUGGCAAACACAGAGUGCUCGCUCAUCUGUUGCACUGCUUCAAGCAAUUAGUGCAAUGUAAGGCUAACAUCUUCCAUGUGUGGAGAACGAGAGGGUGCAGGUUUGUGAUCUGGGCAGCUCAGAGCCCGAAAAUCACUCAAAUUAAAGCAAAAGGCUGGGCUGAGGGGACAUGGGGGAUCCCCGCAGCUGGCACCCAACCUACACCCUCUGUCUCCUCCAUAUCCCUGCAUCCCACCUCCUCCCAACGCAUUGUACAUCACCUGGGCAUCCUGCUUUGAAACAGAAACUGCCCAGAAGGGCACUGGACCACGCACAUCCCCGUCCACACCGGGGUGGUGACGGUCCCCAGCAAGAUGUGGGAUCUCGUGUUCAGCCUCACGCCAUCUCUGUCGCAAGCAAACGAACACGAGUGUUGUUUUCCGGUACGGUGCACCCCGGCCGGCGGCUCCUUCGUGAUUUAUUGGCAGGAAGGCAAGCAGACAAAAUACAACUUCUGAAUUCCCAGAGAGGCAAAGAAUCAUAAAUGCUAAUGAAACUGAGAUAAUGGAGCAGAAAAUAACAGUAGGGAAUGAGUCAAUAUUUAAUAAAGCUUAUAUCUGAGUGUAAAGCAGCACUUUCUGAACUGGGAUGGAGGCAGAAGCUGGGUUAGACGUGUAUCUCUGUGCUUACCCAUCACCUUGAACUGGCUGUAAAACUCAUUAAAAUAAGCCUCAGAAUAUUUUUUGAAGACAGAGGCAUUUUCUAACCUUUGUGGACUGUUGUUAUUAAUUGCAAAUAGAUUUUUCUCUCUUUUUCCUUUUUCUCUCCAGUGUGUGCAAUGGAGGGGCUGCAGUUCUGUGGCUCCUCAGCCCCCGGCUGGCUCGUAGCUCCACGCGGCAGCCGAGGGACAAUGACAAUGAUGAUGACAAUGACAAUGCCGGCCAUUGUCCCUGCAGCAGCAAAGCUCGGUGUG